rnacentral:rRNA from 1 species
AGCAGUGAGGAAUAUUGGUCAAUGGCCGAGAGGCUGAACCAGCCAAGUCGCGUGAAGGAAGAAGGAUCUAUGGUUUGUAAACUUCUUUUAUAGGGGAAUAAAGUGGAGGACGUGUCCUUUUUUGUAUGUACCCUAUGAAUAAGCAUCGGCUAACUCCGUGCCAGCAGCCGCGGUAAUACGGAGGAUGCGAGCGUUAUCCGGAUUUAUUGGGUUUAAAGGGUGCGUAGGUGGUGAUUUAAGUCAGCGGUGAAAGUUUGUGGCUCAACCAUAAAAUUGCCGUUGAAACUGGGUUACUUGAGUGUGUUUGAGGUAGGCGGAAUGCGUGGUGUAGCGGUGAAAUGCAUAGAUAUCACGCAGAACUCCGAUUGCGAAGGCAGCUUACUAAACCAUAACUGACACUGAAGCACGAAAGCGUGGGGAUCAAACAGGAUUAGAUACCCUGGUAGUCCACGCAGUAAACGAUGAUCACUAGCUGUUUGCGAUACACUGUAAGCGGCACAGCGAAAGCGUUAAGUGAUCCACCUGGGGAGUACGCCGGCAACGGUGAAACUCAAAGGAAUUGACGGGGGCCCGCACAAGCGGAGGAACAUGUGGUUUAAUUCGAUGAUACGCGAGGAACCUUACCCGGGCUUGAAUUGCAACUGAAUGAUGUGGAGACAUGUCAGCCGCAAGGCAGUUGUGAAGGUGCUGCAUGGUUGUCGUCAGCUCGUGCCGUGAGGUGUCGGCUUAAGUGCCAUAACGAGCGCAACCCUUAUCGAUAGUUACCAUCAGGUUAUGCUGGGGACUCUGUCGAGACUGCCGUCGUAAGAUGUGAGGAAGGUGGGGAUGACGUCAAAUCAGCACGGCCCUUACGUCCGGGGCUACACACGUGUUACAAUGGGGGGUACAGAAGGCGGCUACCUGGUGACAGGAUGCUAAUCCCAAAAACCUCUCUCAGUUCGGAUCGAAGUCUGCAACCCGACUUCGUGAAGCUGGAUUCGCUAGUAAUCGCGCAUCAGCCAUGGCGCGGUGAAUACGUUCCCGGGCCUUGUACACACCGCCCGUCAAGCCAUGGGAGCCGGGGGUACCUGAAGUGCGUAACCGCGAGGAGCGCCCUAGGGUAAAACUGGUGAUUGGGGCUAAGUCGUAACAAGGUAGCCGUACCGGAAGGUGCGGCUG